AAGGAAUGACAUCACAACGAGAUCCUAAUCUCAAAAAGAAAGGGGGAUAUGGCGAAAUCGGUAGACGCUACGGACUUAAUUGGAUUGAGCCUUGGUGUGGAAACUUACUAAGUGAUCACUUUCAAAUUCAGAGAAACCCUGGAAUUAACAAAAAUGGGCAAUCCUGAUCCAUAUCCUGUUUUCCGAAAACAAACAAAGGUUCAGAAAAAAAAAGAUAGGUGCAGAGACUCAAUGGAAGCUAUUCUAACAAAUGGAGUUAAAUACGUUGGUAGAGGAAUCUUUACAUCGAAACUUCAGAAAGAAAAAGAAUGAAGUGAAGGAUAAACGUAUAUACAUACGUAUUGAAUACUAUAUCAAAUGAUUAAUGAUGACCCGAAUCUGUAUUUUUUAUAGAAAAAAUAGAAGAAUUAGUGUGAAUCGAUUCUACAUUGAAGAAAGAAUCGAAUAUUCAUUAAUCAAACCAUUCACUCCAUAGUCUGAUAGAUCUUUUGAAGAACUGAUUAAUCGGACGAGAAUAAAGAUAGAGUAACGUUCUACAUGUCAAUACCGGCAACAAUGAAAUUUAUAGUAAGAGGAAAAUCCGUCGACUUUAAAAAUCGUGAGGGUUCAAGUCCCUCUAUCCCAAAAAAGACUAUUUCACUCCCCAACUAUUUAACCGACCCCCUUUCCUUAGCGGUUCCAAAUUCCUUAUCUUUCUCAUUCACUCUAUUCUUUUAGGAAUGGAUUUGAGCGUAAAGCAUAUAUAUAUAUAUAUAUAUAUAUAUAUAUAUAUAUAUACACAUAUGCAUAGCUAUUCUAACAAUCUAGACUUGGAUUGAGGCAUAGUUGGUUUUUUGUUAUUUAAGCAAUCCUUUAAAGAUCAACUCUUUAGCAUAGUCUUCCACUAUGUAUUCUUUGAAAUGCAUGUAUCCUUAUAACAAGGUGUUGGAGAAUUUGUAUAGAGAAAACAUAUUGACAAGUGGAUAUUGCUGCAAUGCUACAGAGCCCUUGAGUUUUAUUAUUCAUAAAACGAAAUGUUUUAUAACUUUGCGAAUGAUAGGGUACAAACUGAAAUAAGAUGCAAAUAUUAGGGGGAUAAUCAUAACAAAUAAAGGAGUGCACAUAUUAAAAAAUGGUGCACAGAAUAAGGCAAAAUAAAACAAGGUUAGGGUGCAAAUUUUUCGAUGGUGCAUACAUUAGGGGUGCAAAAUAAAAACAACUCAAGAAGUGCCUCUAAUACGCUAAUUAGAUUAUGAGGAUAGCUAGUAACAGAGCUUAGAGACUGGAGGCCACUUUGACACCAUCACCAGAUAGCAUUUUUCUCAACUGAUUACGAGAAGUAUUUUGUUUAUUAGGAAUAUGUUAGAAUAUGUAAAAUAGUAGAACCCUAAUCCAAUGUGUAUUAGGAGUAGGAUAUGUUAUAUGUAUAUAUAUAUAGGGCUCAUUGUAUCAUGUUUAUAUCAAUUAUAUAUUUUUCUCCCGUGCU
rnacentral:lncRNA from 1 species